ensembl:misc_RNA Y_RNA Y RNA
GGCUGGUCCGAAGGUAGUGAGUUAUCUCACGUGAUUGUUCACAGUCAGUUACAGAUUGAACUCCUUGUUCUACUACUUUCCCCCCUCCUCACUACUGCACUUGACUAGUCUUUU